CUAUCUCAGAUAGCCAUGCAUGUCUAGUAUAAAUGAUAUACAGUGAAACUGCGAAUGGGCUCAUUAAAACAGUUAUAGUUUAUUUGGUAAUCGAAUUUACAUGGAUAACCGUGGUAAUUCUAGAGCUAAUACAUGCUGUAAAGCCCGACUUCACGGAAGGGCCGUAUUUAUUAGAUAACAGACCAAUAUUCCUCGUGUCUAUUGUGGUGAAUCAUAGUAACUAAUCGGAUCGCAUGGGGCUAGUCCCGCGACAAACCAUUCAAGUUUCUGCCCCAUCAGCUUUCGAUGGUAGUGUAUUGGACUACCAUGGCUUUUACGGGUAACGGAGGAUUAGGGUUCGAUUCCGGAGAGGGAGCCUGAGAAACGGCUACCACAUCUAAGGAAGGCAGCAGGCGCGUAAAUUACCCAAUCCUAAUUCAGGGAGGUAGUGACAAGAAAUAACGGGUCGGGGCUAUGCCCCGGGACUGCAAUGAGAUGAAUUUACACCCCUUUUCGAGUAA
rnacentral:rRNA from 1 species